UUGGAAUGAAGUAUGUUGGUUCUACAAGUAAUUUUGUCCUGCAUUCAUGGUAGUUCUAUAAGCGAGCUAAUAAGUGAUUUAUAAAUUUGUUCCAGAGUCUUGAAGAUGAAGCCUUCUGUAAAAACGUGUCCUCGGCUACUGCAAGUAAAACCACAGAGCCCUCAGAGGAGCAUAACCACCACAAGCACCAUGACAAACAUGGGCAUGAGCAUCUUGGGAGCAGUAAGCCUUCAGAGAAUCAGCAACCAGGGGCAUUAGAUGUUGAGACAAGUCUUCCUCCUUCAGGCUUGCACCACCACCACCACCACCAUAAGCACAAGGGCCAGCACAGGCAGGGUCACUUAGAGAGCUGAGACAUGGGGGCAAGUGAAGGCUUGCAACUUUCACUUGCCCAGAGGAAGCUCUGACGAAGGGGAUGCAUAAACCAGCUCCUGUGUAAGUUAUCUGAGGAGUCUGGGGCAGCUACCAGUAGCUGCUGCUGCCACUGCCGACACCUCAUAUUUGAGAAGUCAGGAUCUGCAAUCACUUGACAGUGUGCCGAAAACCUCCCAUCCUUGUGUAGCUGACAGGGGCUUUUCGCGGAGGAGAAAGUCAUUGAAUCCUGUCAAUGUAGAUCACCUCC
rnacentral:lncRNA from 1 species